AGUACCCCCUAGUGGCUGGAAUACAAGUGUAUUAAGCCCCUUACAACACCCCCCUGCAAAAACGAAAUGUUGUCCCAAACAUUUCACUGGCCUCAAAACAAACAGAAGAUGUAAGUACUGGUCAUGAGAACAACGGAGAAACUGGCCUAACAGCCAUAUAACUAUCUAGACAUGUCCAGUCUGCCUUAUGGGCGAAAACGCAACCCCCACUAAACAUUAUCACACUGUGAUUAGUAAAGGUAAACAAGAAAAUAUAUACACAUCAGAACAUCUCUAGUUGGUAUCCUGAUAAGAGCUUGGCAGCCCUAAAGUGUUAUAGGUUAGAAUGUCUCUGGGCCUCCUCUGCCGGUGUGAACGGCGGGGCAAGGUCAAGGUCAUCAGUGUCCACUUCAUCAUGAGAUGAUUGAGUCUCUGAGCCCUCAGCUGUUUUCAUAUUUACCCCUGUCCUCUCCGGGCUCUCUCUGAGGACUGGCUGGCACUCCUUCACAGUGAAGUUUCUAUCAGUCUGACGCCGUUCCGUUCACAAAGACACAGAGGAGGAGGAACUAUCCAACACCCAGAGAGAGAGAACGAGUGACCUCAGUUGAACACAGUCAGAAAGAGGAGGUGGAAGAGGCGUUAGAUAGAGGAGGAGGUUACCCCAGAGGCCAUUCCUCCUGUUCAUGUGAGCAAGAAAGAGCAGAAGGCUUCUGAUCAGCCAAAUGGCAGGCAGAUGGAGAGGUCAUAGUGAUUCACACCCCCAGAGAGAAAGACAACCCACACAACCUCUUGGUUGAGAUGAACCACACAGAGGUAGAGGCAGAGGGCCUUCAGGGCUAGCCAGUCAGCCUGCCUGCUCUGAACCUCAAGUCAAUUGUAUUUAAAUUCAUGUUCAUUAAAGAUUUUUAUUCAAGAAUUAAAAAGUCCCAUUUACUUAAUGAUCAUUUUUCACUGUCUUCAACCUCAAGAACCAGGGUGAGUCUGGGUAACCCUUUUACUGGGCAAACACAACUUCGAUAUCGUCAUAGACUAGGCCGAAACGUUAAUCUUUUAACCUUGCCUGAAUAAAACAAUGCAUUUUUUUAUAGUGAGCAAGAGUAGUGCUUUUUCCUUUUCAAUGAUGAUUCAAAUUUUUGGUUGCACCGAAACUCAACGUUGGUUGAGCGCCCUGCGUUUUUUUGUUGUCAAUUUUUUUUUUUAAUGUACAAAGUAAAUUAUUAAAAGCAUUAAAAUUGGGAUGUUUCCCACUUAUUUACACAACCUACUCCACACUUGCAAAGUGAAAGUUUAUAGAAAAGUUCUGAAAUUAAGUAGUAAACAGAAGAAAAGCAGAAUUGAGUCCAAUUAUAAUGCGAAUAAUUUAAUGGUCUAUGGUUCAAUCCCAUUUCUGAAUGUCUGAUGAAUAAUUAAUAUUGUUCCUCCUCUUCCUUGUAGCAGGCGCAGCAGCACACUGCCCUCCAAAGCCUGCAAAAUAAUCGCCGGACUGCCCCUUUCCUAGCUCUACAUGGAACAUCCAGUGUCACGUCCUUGGUUACGUGUGGGGUGACAUCCGGGAUGACCACAGCAACAUCCUCUGGAAAGGGAAAAAAGAGGAACAGAAUGUAAACAAAUGCAAACCGUAGGUUCUAAACACUGGCCAGUUGAAAGGUUCUACUAAGAUGUCAUGACAAACGGCACCUGUCAGAGUGCUCUCUAAGUGUUACUCACCUGCUUGGAUGUCAGCUGGCAGAGUGGUGAAGACGGCCAUCGUGAGAGUCCUUUCUUCAGGUGUGACGUCCACAACCUCCAAGAGGGAAGAGAUGGGCUCUGCCUCUGUAUUAGUGGGGAUGUCCACAAUAUUUAGGUGGAAAGAAGCCGGCUCUGCCUCUGUGUUAGGGGUUAUGUCCACAACAUUCAGGUGGGAAGAAGCCGGAUCUGCCUCUGUAUUAAGGGUUAUGUCCACAACAUUCAGGUGGAGAGAAGCCGGAUCUGCCUCUGUAUUAAGGGUUAUGUCCACAACAUUCAGGUGGAGAUAAGCCGGGUCUUCCUCUGUGUUAGGGGUGAUGUUCACAACCUCCAGGUGGGAAGAUGCCGGGUCUGCCUCUGUUUUUGGGGUGAUGUCUUGAACUUCCAGGUGGGAAGAAGCCGGGUCUACCUCUAGUUUUGGGGUGAUGUCUUGAACCUCCAGGUGGGAACAAGCCGGGUCUGCGUCUGUUUUUGGGGUGAUGUCCACAACCUCCAGGUGGGAACAAGCCGGGUCUGCGUCUGUUUUUGGGGUGAUGUCCACAACCUCCAGGUGGGAACAAGCCGGGUCUGCCUCUGUGUUAGGGGUGACUUUCACAAUCUCCAGGUGGAAAGAAGCCGGAUCUGCCUCUGUGUUAGUGGUGAUGUCCACAACAUUCAGGUGG
rnacentral:lncRNA from 1 species